rnacentral:rRNA from 1 species
GACGAACGCUGGCGGCGUGCUUAACACAUGCAAGUCGAACGGAAAGGCCCUGCUUUUGUGGGGUGCUCGAGUGGCGAACGGGUGAGUAACACGUGAGUAACCUGCCCUUGACUUUGGGAUAACUUCAGGAAACUGGGGCUAAUACCGGAUAGGAGCUCCUGCUGCAUGGUGGGGGUUGGAAAGUUUCUGCGGUUGGGGAUGGACUGGCGGCUUAUCAGCUUGUUGGUGGGGUAGUGGCUUACCAAGGCUUUGACGGGUAGCCGGCCUGAGAGGGUGACCGGGCACCUUGGGCCUGCGAUACGGCCCAGACUCGUACGGUAGGCAGUAGUGGCAAAUCUUGUACAAUGGGCGGAAGUCUGAUGCAGCAACGCCGCGUGCGUGAUGACGGCCUUUUGGUUGUAAACCGCUUUCGCCUGUGACGAAGCGUGAGUGACGGUAAUGGGUAAAGAAGCACCGGCUAACUACGUG